GGACUACUGGGGUAUCUAAUCCUGUUUGCUCCCCUAGCUUUCGUCCCUCAGCGUCAGUUGUGGUCCAGCGCGCCGCUUUCGCCACGGGUGUUCCUGCAGAUAUCUACGCAUUUCACCGCUACACCUGCAAUUCCACGCGCCUCUCCCACACUCAAGCACGGCAGUUUCGAAGGCAGUCUCUGAGUUAAGCCCAGAGAUUUCACCCCCGACUUGCCACACCGCCUACGGACCCUUUACACCCAGUAAUUCCGAGCAACGCUGGCCCCCUACGUCUUACCGCGGCGGCUGGCAC
rnacentral:rRNA from 1 species